rnacentral:rRNA from 1 species
GACGAACGCUGGCGGCGUGCCUAACACAUGCAAGUCGAACGAAGCAUUUAAGUGAAUCCCUUCGGGGUGAAGCUUUUAUGACUUAGUGGCGGACGGGUGAGUAACGCGUGAGUAACCUGCCUUUCAGAGGGGGAUAACAGUUGGAAACGACUGCUAAUACCGCAUAACGUAUUUGAAUCGCAUGAUUCGGAUACCAAAGCUGAGGCGCUGAAAGAUGGACUCGCGUCUGAUUAGAUAGUUGGUGGGGUAACGGCCUACCAAGUCGACGAUCAGUAGCCGGACUGAGAGGUUGAUCGGCCACAUUGGGACUGAGACACGGCCCAGACUCCUACGGGAGGCAGCAGUGGGGAAUAUUGCACAAUGGGCGAAAGCCUGAUGCAGCAACGCCGCGUGAGGGAAGACGGUCUUCGGAUUGUAAACCUCUGUCUUUGGUGAAGAAGAAAGUGACGGUAACCAAGGAGGAAGCCACGGCUAACUACGUGCCAGCAGCCGCAGUAAUAC